rnacentral:sRNA from 1 species
CCUCCUGGGCAUCCUGGACUUCCUCUUCGUCAGCCACGCCUAUCACAGCAUCCUGACCCGUGGGGCUUCUGUGCAGCUGGUGUUUGGUUUUGAGUAUGCCAUCCUGAUGACGAUGGUGCUCACCAUCUUCAUCAAGUAUGUGCUGCACUCCGUGGACCUCCAGAGUGAGAACCCCUGGGACAACAAGGCUGUGUACAUGCUCUACACAGAGCUGUUUACAGGCUUCAUCAAGGUUCUGCUGUACAUGGCCUUCAUGACAAUCAUGAUCAAGGUGCACACCUUCCCACUCUUCGCCAUCCGGCCCAUGUACCUGGCCAUGAGGUGAGCCCGGCCCUGUCCCCCGAUCCUCCUGACCUGAUCCCGUCCCUUCUCCUGCUUUCACUGACUGUCCUUUCAGACAGUUCAAGAAAGCUGUGACAGAUGCCAUCAUGUCUCGCCGAGCCAUCCGCAACAUGAACACCCUGUAUCCAGAUGCCACCCCAGAGGAGCUCCAGGCAAUGGACAAUGUCUGCAUCAUCUGCCGAGAAGAGAUGGUGACUGGUGCCAAGAGACUGCCCUGCAACCACAUUUUCCAUACCAGCGGCAGCAGACCUGCCCCACCUGCCGUAUGGAUGUCCUUCGUGCAUCACUGCCAGCCCAGUCACCACCACCCCC